GACGAACGCUGGCGGCGUGCCUAAUACAUGCAAGUCGAGCGGAACUGGGGGAGCUUGCUCCUUCCAGUUUAGCGGCGGACGGGUGAGUAACACGUGGGCAACCUGCCCUGCAGAUCGGGAUAACUCCGGGAAACCGGUGCUAAUACCGAAUAGUUUGGCGCCUCUCCUGAGGCGCUACGGAAAGACGGUUUCGGCUGUAACUGCAGGAUGGGCCCGCGGCGCAGUAGCUAGUUGGUGGGGUAACGGCGCACCAAGGCGACGAUGCGUAGCCGACCUGGGAGGGUGACCGGCCACACUGGGACUGAGACACGGCCCAGACUCCUACGGGAGGCAGCAGUAGGGAAUCUUCCGCAAUGGACGCAAGUCUGACGGAGCAACGCCGCGUGAGUGACGAAGGUUUUCGGAUCGUAAAACUCUGUUGUGAGGGAAGAACACGUACCAACUAACUAUUGGUACCUUGACGGUACCUCACCAGAAAGCCACGGCUAACUACGUGCCAGCCGCCGCAGUAA
rnacentral:rRNA from 1 species